CCAAUAAUUUUCUGCGAAUUUAAAUACCUUUGAAUGUUGAUUGGGAAAUUAAAAGGCAAGUUUUUAUGCAAUUUAAAUUUAAUUACCUUUGAAUGCUGAUUGGGAAAUUAAAAGGCAAGUUUCUAUGCAAUUUAAAAGUACAGUAUGAUUUUAGAGUUGGGAAAUGAAAAGUCUUGAUUACAUGCCCUUUUUAUUGUUUGAUUAUUAUUAUUUAUUUAUUAUUUAUUUAUUAUUUAUACGCGGUGCGAAUGCGAUCAAUUUACCCACACCAAGUACAUCUGUCUAUAAAUACUCUUAACAUUCAUCUUGAACUCAACAUUCAUUCCUUCAUCUUAUAUUUCUUCUUUUCUUUAUCUCUUCAUCUUUUUCUUAUUUUUAAUUUUAAAUUUUAGUUGUUCUAUUCUAUGUAUUAAGCUUGGUUUACUUGGUAUUUGAGUUCGAUUUUAUUUUUUGUUCAAUGAUGUUGAUGGUUUAUUUUUUUUUUACCACAUCAUAUUGGUUAUGUUUCGUUAAACUUAAAAAAAAAAAUUUCUUUUAACGAUUUUAAAUAGAUUUUUACCACAUCAUAUUUUUUAUGUUUGCAAUCAUAGUUUAUUUUCUUCCAUUGAGUAUACUUUGCACAUGGCAUGUGAUUUAAAUAAAAAAUAGAUUUUUAAAAAAGUUGUUGAAAACAACUUUUCAUAUUAAAGUUUUCAUUUAGAAGGAUGAAAUAAUUUUAGAUAAAUUUGAAAUAAACAUGAGUAAAGUAAAGUGUUUUUAUUUUUAUUUUUUAAAAAUAGAUUUUGUAGUAGUUUGAAAAGAAUAGAUGCUUGUGUAGCAGUUUGGGCCGGGUUUUGGACCUUAACCAUCCAACCCGGCCCAGUUUCACUAUACAUAACCGAUCCACUAUACAUUCAAUUAAAAUUAUUCAUUUUCCAUUCGAUAACCGUUUCUCUCGUUCCCGCUUCGAUUUUCUCUCUGUUUCCCGCUUCGCUUUUCUUUCGCCUUUCUCUUGGUCUUUCAAAAUCUUUGCUAAGGUAAUGACUUUAAGAACAAAAUUUGAUUGAAUUUCUUUCAUUUUAAUCGGUGAAUUUUUCUUCAAUAUGUUAAAAUUGAUACAGUUGUUGAUUAGUAAUUGAAUGAAAGGUAGUUGAUGCAUUUUUUUAUGAAUUCUUGUAAUUUAUGGAAUUAUUGAUUAUUGAACCGUGAUAUGCAUUCCGAUCUGCAAGGCUGAAUGAACUUUGAUAUUGAAUUGAUUUCAGAACCAUAUUUAAUUGAAUUUCUGUGAUUUUAAUCGGUGAAUUUUCCUUCAAUAUGUUAAAAUUGAUACAGUUGUUUAUUAGUAAUUGAAUGAAACGUAGGUGAUGCAUUUGUUAUGAAUUCUUGUAAUUUAUGGAAUUAUUGAUUAUUGAACUAAAUUAAUUUCAGAACCACGGCGUUAUGUUCUG
rnacentral:lncRNA from 1 species